GGCCUCUAGGUCCUGCACCUGUCGGCCACCGUUAUGCUAAUCUUGUAGGCGUGGAACCGCGACAGGUCCCUGGGACAAGGAUUUUCUCGACCCAGGGAUCAAACCUGUGUCUGCUGCAUUGGUAGCAAGAAUCUCUACCACUGAACCACCAGUGAAGCCCCAAAGUUUGUUUGCUGGUUACAGGGUGAAGGUGGCAAGAGAAGGAAAACCUUUUAAAGGGAUCCUACCCAGGACUGUCACAAAAUCCAGCCCCUAAAGGUAUUAAGGACAAAUCACAAGCUGGAAUCAAGAUUGCCUGGAGAAAUGUCAACGACCUCAGAUAUGCAGAUGAUACUAUAAUGACAGAAAGUGAAGAGGAACUAAAGAAGCUCCUGAUAGGGGUCAAGAGGAGAGUGAAAAAGUUGGCUUAAAACUCAAUAUUCAAAAAACUAAGAUCAUGGCAUCUGGUCCCAUCACUUCAUGGCAAAUAGAAGAGGAAAAAGUGGAAGCAUUGGCAGAUUUUAUAUUCUUGGGCUCCAAAAUCACUGCAGAUGAUGACUGCAGCCAUGAAAUUAAGACGCCUGCUCCGUGUCAGGAAAGUUAUGACAAACCUAGACAGCAUAUUUAAAGGCAUCCCUUUGCUGAUAAAGGUCCAUUUGGUCAAAGUUUUGGUUUUUCCAGUAGUCAUGUGCAGAUACUGGACCAUAAAGAGCUGGACCAUAAAGAAGGCUGAGCACUGAAAACCUGAUGCUUUCAAACUGUGGUGCCGAAGACUUGAGAGUCCCUUGGGUAGCAAGGAGAUCAAACCAGUCAAUCCUGAAUAUUCAUUGGAAAGACUGAUGCUGAAGCUGAAGCUCCAAUACUUUGACCACCUGAUGGGAAGAGCCGACUCACUGGAAAAGGCUCUGAUGCUGGGAAAGAUUAAAGGCAAAAGGAAAAGGGAAAAAUUGGUUAGAUAGCGUCAGCAACUCAAUGGACAUGAAUUUAAGCAAACUCUGGGAGACACUGGAGGACAGAGGAGCCUGGUGCACUGCAGUCCAUGGGGUUGCUGAGUCGGACACGACUUAGUGACUGAACAAUAGGCAUUAAGCCUAGAGAGCCUGGACAUUUACUGAUAGCCAUUAGAAUUGAUUAAAAAAUCAUUUUUAUUUUCUUUCUGGCAUAUGGCAAGAUUGCACUUCUCCACCCUUAAAGAUAGGCUUGCCUAUGUGAUGCUUUGACCAAGAAAAAUGUGAGAAAUUUUUAAGAGCAAUUUUUCACAUUCCUUUCCCCUUCCAUAGAUGGGCUACAUUCCAGGCAUGGUUGAAGCUCCACCAACCUCCGUCACUUAGAUAAUGUGGAACCGAAACUAUUUGGCCCCAAGAUGGACAUGUGUGAGAUUAAAAACAUCUCUGGUUCUAAAUCA